rnacentral:lncRNA from 1 species
CGCCGAUGAAAAUUCUUAACGGAAAGUGGCUAAUGGCAAAAUCAAAAGCUCAAACACAUUAAAUGAAUGGAUAAUAACUGUCUCAUUCCUGGCUUAGUGCAGGUAUUUUCUUAUGUACAAAAAAGUGGAUUAAACCUGGUUUCAUAGCUAGCUAAUCUUCUCACUUGUAUGACAGUCCUAUAGAAUUCCUUUAUAUUGACAAC